GGUUAAGUUAGUGGUUACAUAUUUGUUUUGAAAACAAAUUAAAGAGGUUCGAAUCCUCUCUUAAUCU
rnacentral:tRNA from 1 species